rnacentral:rRNA from 1 species
UUGGAGGGCAAGUCUGGUGCCAGCAGCCGCGGUAAUUCCAGCUCCAAUAGCGUAUAUUAAAGUUGUUGCAGUUAAAAAGCUCGUAGUUGAAUUUCGGGGUUCUACCGUUGGUCGGGCUUUGUCUGUACUGGUGUGUAGAAUUUCUACCUUCUGGGGAACCAUCAUGCUAUUAAUUUAGCGUGGUGGGAAACCAGGACCUUUACCUUGAAAAAAUUAGUGUGUUCAAAGCAGGCUUAUGUCUGAAUACAUUAGCGUGGAAUAAUAGAAUAGGACGGUGGUCCUGUUUUGUUGGUUUCUGAAUCACCGUAAUGAUUAAUAGGGAUAGUUGGGGGCAUUAGUAUUCAAUUGUCAGAGGUGAAAUUCUUGGAUUUAUUGAAGAUUAUCUUCUGCGAAAGCAUUUGCCAAGGAUGUUUUCAUUAAUCAAGAACGAAAGUUAGGGGAUCGAAGACGAUCAGAUACCGUCGUAGUCUUAACCAUAAACUAUGCCGACUAGGGAUCGGACGAUGUUAAUUUUUCUUGACUCGUUCGGCGCCUUACGGGAAAC